rnacentral:lncRNA from 1 species
UUAGAUAAAAUCCCAAAAGAAAAAUGGACGCAAUCAUAUGAUGAGGGGAGACGGUAAGACCAUAUGACGACGAAUUUGGCUGAAUGUGUAUAUGCGGUUCUGAAAGGAGCAAGUGCCUUGCCUAUUACUGUACUUGUUAGAGCAACAUAUCAUAGACUAAACUCCUGGUUUCUACACCAUAGAAAUGAAGCAAAUAACAUGAUAAGGGCGGGUCAUGUUUACUGCGAAGAAUUGAGUAAGGUGAUUAAUGAAAAUAAUCAAAAAG